AGCAAUGGGCACUUUGAAUACAGGCAGGAAGACACGGUGCCUUCCCUGAUAAACCUGCAAUCGAAACAGACAACAUACAAUGAAAGACAGGAGCUGGGAUGUGAUGAAAAGUGACAUGACCAAGCAGUGAAGUUGAGCCCAUGUUCUCCAGAAGCGCCCACCUCUGUUUUCAGUUGUGGCUGCAGAAUGGCAGAGAUUCUGGUGUAAAUCACGCUGGAUCAUUUCCAAGAAGCACUCAGUCAUGCACCAAGCAAUCAGAGAAUAAUCAUCCUUUCACAUAUUCCAUUUCAUCUGAGAACAGCGCAGAGACAUUCAAGAAGAUCACAGCUGACUAAUUUUUGACAUAGGGCCAAUUUCUGCUCCCCUCACUCAUGCGAAUAAUCUCAUUAAAGUCAGUGGGCCUGAUUGUGGCCCCCUGGGAUGGCAGAAACAGCAAGCCACCUUCUUGUGCCUCCGAGCUGUGUCCACUCGCAGCCACAGCCCCUACGUUCCCCCAAGCCAAGGAACAGUUCCCAUCUAGUGCUUCUUGUAGGUACUAGUCAGAUGUGGGUAGGAUAUCAGAGAUGAUGGAAGCUUACUUUGAAUGAGGGAGCGGAGCAGAGUGCUCCCUAUGGGGAGCAGUGGGGAGUCAGCAGCAGCAGGGUAGGGAGGGAAGGUUCGCGUGGAUGCUCUGCAUGGAGCACUACUGAGAUUCAGCAGCCACGAGGGUGUCUUAUCUGUUCCCUGGCCCGUUCCUGGGCACCAUGGUGGCUGCUCCAGCCCGUCUCAGUCCGGCUCUCGCGUCUGCUUCCCUGCACGUGCGGACCGUUUACAGGGAAUGAGGCACAGCAACAAAAACAUAGAUCAACGCCCAUAAUAUUGCCAUUGUGGGGUGCUAGUCCUACUGCCCCCUGGUUCCACCAGCCCUGGAGGAAGUGGUCUCUACCAGCUACCAGAGUAGGGUGACCAGAUGUCCUGAUUUCAUAGGGACAGUCCCGAUUUUUGGGUCUUUUUCUUAUAUAGGCUCCUAUUACCCCCCACCCCAUCCCGAUUUUUCACAUUUGCUGUCUGGUCGCCCUAUACCAGAGCUGCUCGGAAAUACAGGAGAGAGCAUAACACCACCCUGAAGGUGCCACUGUACAGUAGUGAGGUCCAGAAGACACUAUACCUCCCUGAGGAACAAUGUCUCCUGAUGGGGCAGCGUGGUUCCAUGCACCUCCUGCCUCAGGGCUGUGCCAGAGCUACUCCUACUAGGAAGGCAAGUGGGAUUCAGUCAUAAUGCUCAAUAUCCUCUUUAGAACUCAAACUUUUUAAUCUGACUUAUGAAACAACGGGCUAAUCAGACCCCACUUUUCUAAUAGUAGUAUGAAGAGAGCCUGAGACAUAAGCCUUAGUAUCAGAGGCCUGGUAUGAGGCAGGACCUGCUCACAGAAUCUGGCAAGAACAGGGCUGUUAUUGCAGAAAUACAUAUUCCUAAGAAGUGCUAAGCACAGAGCACUCAUGCAAACACAUUCUGAUAUCAAAAGUAUCUUGUCCAGAUGAAAGGGGAACGGAAAGUCCC